GUCUGAAGUGGAGCCCCCAGGUCUGGGAGGAUGGGGUGGAGGAAGACACUGCCUCAUCUCCCAGAUCUUCUCCUUAAUCUUUUAUUGGACUCCCAGAAGCCUCUUCGCAAAAUCAAAGCCCGACAUUAUUCUCAAAUCCUUCCAGGUCUUCUUUUGGGGUAAAAGCUUCAUAAGCCAGGGUGACAGCUGCCUGUCACGAGUCUUCAGCAUUACAAGGGCAGAGCCUGGUACCUAACACAUGAGAAGACAACACUGACCAGGAGAGCCCCAUCCCAGCUCCCUGGCACUCAGAGUCCAAUGAAGAAAAGUUUUUGCUGAGAGAAUGGAUAAAACUGACCUGGUGAUGGUCUUGGAAGAUGAUCAAACAUACAGAACUUGAGCAUGGUACCACACAUAGGUAACUCCAGCACUCAGAGAGGCUGAGGCAGGGGGGUCACCAUGAGUUCCAUGCUGGACUGAACUACAUGUUAAAACCUUGUCUCAAAAAAUCAAUGGAGAGAGACCAUUUAGGUAAAGUGAGGAGAAAGGUUUGGAGAGCCAAGAGUCUGCUAAGUUGAGAAGGCAUGGAGAAGAGGCAGGAAAGCUCUGGGAAAGCCUGGAAGGCAGUGGAGAGGAGCUGGUGAUUCCCCUGAGGGCACUGGGGAGCCACGGCAGGUUCAGAGCAUAGGAGGGACAAGAUGAGGUUUGGGCUUCAGCACGUCCGCUGGCCGACGCGCUGCCCUGAGGGAUGGGAGUACGCGUCAGAAAUAGAACCAGACCCCAAAGCCGGCAGGAAAACAUGAAGGUCAGCCUGUGGUCCUCCAGGCUCGGAAAGGGGUGGGCUAAGCUUGUCCGCCGCCACCAGAGGACAGCAGAGAGCCCCACAGGACUGACAGCGCAGUCCUGCCACAGAGAUCGUGCGCUCAGGAUCCGGAGGUGCAGGAGGUGGAGCUGUCUGGAGAGCCCCAGCGGGAGCCCCUCUGCUUUCCGGGCUCCCCAUCCUGGCCUCUGGGCCCCUGAACCCCCUACCUUACCCAGCUCCAGAUUAUGUCAACAUUACUGGCUGCUGUGGUCAGGACAAUAUUUGCCCUCAGCAUCCGAGGCGGUUGCUAUGGAGACGUGCACCACCCUCCCCCCAAAGUCUCAGAAAAAAACAAGAGGAGCUGAGGCUUUCACAUUGAGCUACAUCCGCAAUGGAGCUUUCCCAGGACCCAGAGGGCGCCAGGAAUGUGGGCCAGAGGGCAGGGAGGCCCCAGCGGCCAGGCCCUGCCCCAGGGGAGUGUGUGGUCAGACUGCUCCACAGUGUGAUUGAUGAGCAGGAGGCCCUGAGAGCCAGGACUGGGCUCUGAGCCCCCUCUGUGGAGAGACACUGUCCCACAGAGGGCAAAGGAAGAGCCUGGAAGCAGAGGCUGGAAACCUGUGGGCCACGGGGAUUCCCAGAACGGUAUCGAACUCAUGACCGCCUGCUUGGAAGGCAAGUGCUUAUGCUGCUGAGCUAAAUCCCCAGCCCCCGUGUGUGUGACUUUUAAAGUGUGACUGGACUGUCUGUCGUGGAGAGUUGUGUGUCUGUGUGAUUCUAUCACUAGGUGUGACCAUGUGGGAACUUAUGGAAGCAUGUGCCUUGGCGACACUUAGAAAGCAUGUUUUGGGGUACAACUGUGGGCUCUGGAGAUUGUGUGGCUGCAUAGUCCCCCAAUUCUGCGUGUGACUUCCGGGAACUGUGUGACCCUGUGAGUAGCCACACAACCUGUGCGUUUUCUACUUUGACAUCAUCUCUUGAACCCUGCUCUGGGCAAAGCUGGGAAC